rnacentral:rRNA from 1 species
AUACGUAGGGGGCAAGCGUUAUCCGGAUUUACUGGGUGUAAAGGGAGCGUAGACGGAAGGCCAAGUCUGAUGUGAAAGCCCGCGGCUCAACUGCGGGACUGCAUUGGAAACUGGUCAUCUGGAGUGCAGGAGGGGUAAGCGGAAUUCCUAGUGUAGCGGUGAAAUGCGUAGAUAUUAGGAGGAACACCGGUGGCGAAGGCGGCUUACUGGACUGUAACUGACGUUGAGGCUCGAAAGCGUGGGUAUCGAACAGGAUUAGAUACCCUGGUAGUCCGCACAGUAAACGAUGACAACUGGCUGUUGGCGAUACACCGAUCAGUAGCGAAGCGAAAGCGUUAAGUUGUCCACCUGGGGAGUACGACCGCAAGGUUGAAACUCAAAGGAAUUGACGGGG